AUGAAUUUUGCUCUGCACCAAGCUGGGAGUUUCUGCCUUGGCCUGCUCUUGACCAGCGGAGAGGGCACCAUGGCGAAGGUGAGGUGGGCAUCAUCCAGUUUUAAAGGGGAGGGCUCCAGCAAGAAAUGUACCGCUACGGCGAGAAACCGAGCUGGAAAGGGAGCGUCCAACAGAAAAAUGGCAGGGUGCGUCAGGGGGUGGCAUUUUGCAGAAUGGUCUGGGGAGGUUCGCAACAUUGUCUACUCAUCUGAUGGGAAAAUCUCUAUCUGUUGCGUAUCGUGUGACUAUGGAACUGAUGCAGAGGUGCCCUUCUUUGCUUGGGAGUUUGAAUCCGGUUUGGCUCUCACCGAUCUUGCCUGCUCAGUUUUUGAGUGUAUAACCAGUUUGUAG
rnacentral:rRNA from 1 species